UUGACCUCGGAUCAGGUAGGAAUACCCGCUGAACUU
rnacentral:rRNA from 18 species